UUUUAUCGGAGAGUUUGAUCCUGGCUCAGGACGAACGCUGGCGGCGUGCCUAAUACAUGCAAGUCGAGCGGAUUGAUGGGAGCUUGCUCCCUGAUAUCAGCGGCGGACGGGUGAGUAACACGUGGGUAACCUGCCUGUAAGACUGGGAUAACUCCGGGAAACCGGGG
rnacentral:rRNA from 1 species